AAAUUCUCUUGUGAAUUUUCAGGCUUUGGAGUAUGAUGAUUGGGCUGACAUUUUCUUUGUGAUUCAGUUUGUGUUAUCAUGUGUCAUGGGGUGAGCCUGAUAUUUUCAAUCUUUUUCUGUACUUAAGCUUAAGUUUCUUAAGACUACUUAAAGAUGAAUUGUGUAAAUUUUUGAGAUGUAAAAAAUUCAUAUUCUUUUUUUCUCUUGUUCUAAUGAUUAUAAUAUCAUUGGUUAUUUUGGCAGGUUUAUGCUCAUGUACUCAAUUAUGUUAUGCACCCAUUAUAACUCUGCUUUGACGACUACCAUUGUCGGCUGUAUCAAGGUCGGUAAUUAACAUUAAAUCAAAUUAAAUUAAAUUAAAUUAAAUCAAUUAAAACUUUACUUUGUUUCCUUUAACCAACCCAACAGAAUAUCUUAGUGACAUACAUCGGGAUGGUGUUUGGUGGAGAUUAUAUCUUUACUUGGGUGAAUUUUAUCGGCCUAAACAUCAGAAAAAUAUUGAUGGAACAAGCUUAUAGUGUCGAUAAAACCUAUGGGAGUCAAGAAGACAGUCAGCAGGGUGUGCACACAGUCUCAUUUCACAACACCUUGAGUGCAACAGAGACCAGCAAUUUUCUCAGCAACCUUGUUUUUGUUGAGAUGUGAUAUGAGAAGAUAUGAUUUAAUUUAAUUUGAUGUUGGAUAGAUGAGAAAUUAUUUCCUUUGCUAUGGUAUGAAAUCAGUAUUAUUCUUUUGUCUUUGUAAAUUGUAAAGUCCUCAACCUUAGUAGUUCAAGGUGGACUGUUCAAUUUCCAUUUUUAUUUUUUAAUUGAGGUAUGAAUCAAAAUUAUUUUUAUUUAUUAUCAUUAUUAUUAUUAUUUGUGUGUGGUAAUUAACAUGAUACAAAUUAUGACACAACAAGUGAUGCUGUUGAAACUGGAAUAAGUGUAUGAACAACCUAAAUAACUUUUAAUGGCUAUAUGCCAUAAAUAAAUAAAUAAUAAUAAUAAAUAAACUUUUGCAUAAAUUGAUUUUCACUCAUGUUUUUCACUAUUUCGUUAUUUUCACAAAGCACAAUUCUGUGUGAAGGAUCUAAGGAUCCUCAAACUGUGUGUUUUGCUUCAGGAGAGCAAUCAUACAUUUGUGUUGUGGUUUAGUUACUUUCAUUUAUUCUUCAUGCAUUUGUUCAUAUAAUAAUUUAAUCAUUUUAUUAUUCCAUUCAAUCAUAUAAUCAUUUAUAAUAAUCAUUAUAACCAUUUAUAUACUAAUUUCAUUGAUGUAUUCAUUGAUUAGUCAUUUUUAUUAGUUUUUUUAAUAUAAUUUUUUCCAUUGUUUAGUCCUAUGGCUGUGUGUUUCAAGGGCUGUAUGUCUUCAUGAAUAAGAGAUAAGAGGGAAUGCUCAUUGAAAUUCAAGGUUUAUGGCAGGUUGUGAAGCAUUUUGGUAUAACACUGGUUGUUGGAUUUGUGCUGGUCAGACGAAGUCUGAGCAUUGAAACGUACACAAUUAAGAUUAUUCAAUAAACUCUAGUUUUUUUUUAUCAUCA
rnacentral:lncRNA from 1 species